GGGUCCCAGGGGAGCUGGGUGGGUGGGGCAGGCGGGUGGCCUGGGGCUGCGACCUGGUGGGGCUGGUCCUCUGCACUGGGAGCCAGGCAGUGUCCCCUGUCCUGGCCUAGUUGCCCCAGGGCUCCCCAGACCUGGGUCCCAAGGUCUCCCCUCUGGUCUGUGUGCCUGGACACCCCAAGUUGUUGUCCUGUGGUUGGGGACCGCGGCGGACUGAGCUGUUCACCACCUGGUGUGGCUGCGACGGUGGACACUCGCUCCUCGCCUGUCACCUGCUGCAGUGGGGGAGGGGUUGGUCUCACCCCAGGGACGUCCACGAGUGGGAGGAGGAAGCCCGGUGGCGCUGCGGGACCUGCCCUGCCAGCCACUCCCUCCUGCUCCAGGGUUCCAGGCAGUGCGCAAGCUGCCUGGCCAGCGCGGAGGCCUCCAGCCCGACGGCCAUUCCACCUGCUGCCUGGGCCCAGGUCCGUCCUGCGCGGCCCGUAAUUGAAUCUCCUGUCGCUGCCCAGAAACAGUAAUUGCUCCAGGAAAUGCCGCUGCUGACGCUCUUAUGACAGCCUGGUCCCUGGCCCUGGCCGGCACGGUGCCCUGCAGUCCCCAAGUCUGAGGCGCAGGCGGGGCUGCAGCGGCCUCUGGUGGCCGAGUGUGCUCUGACACCGGCCCUCCUGGCCCUGCCCUGCCCCUCGGGCUGCCCCGAGCCUCCCGGGGAUACUCAGGUGUGGCAGGAAGCUGAGCACACAGGACCACGCAAGAGCCCUGCGCCUGCCUGCAGGUAGCCCGCGUGCUCGUGGGGGCAGAUGUGGCACAGCAUGACAAGCGCUAUGAAGGGGAACCACAGGUCUGACUGCGCAGGUGAGGAUGCCGGGGUGUGGCCCAGGGGCGCCGGAGGCGGCUGGCCCAGCACCUGCGCCCGUCUGCCUGGAGCCCGGGCCAAGGCCGCAGAGA